rnacentral:rRNA from 1 species
AUUGAACGCUGGCGGUAUGCCUUACACAUGCAAGUCGAACGGUAGAGGAGCAAUCCUCGAGAGUGGCGAACGGGUGAGUAAUACAUCGGAACGUGCCCAGUCGUGGGGGAUAACGUAGCGAAAGCUACGCUAAUACCGCAUAUUCUGUGAGCAGGAAAAGCAGGGGAUCGCAGGACCUUGCGCUGAUUGAGCGGCCGAUAUCAGAUUAGCUAGUUGGUGGGGUAAAGGCCUACCAAGGCGACGAUCUGUAGCGGGUCUGAGAGGACGAUCAGCCACACUGGGACUGAGACACGGCCCAGACUCCUACGGGAGGCAGCAGUGGGGAAUUUUGGACAAUGGGGGCAACCCUGAUCCAGCAACGCCGCGUGAAUGAAGAAGGCCUUAGGGUGUAAAGUUCUUUUGUCAGGGAAGAAAAGGCUUGUGCUAAUAUCACAAGCUGCUGACGGUACCUGAAGAAUAAGCAACCGGCU